GACGAACGCUGGCGGCGUGCCUAAUACAUGCAAGUAGAACGCUGAAGGAGGAGCUUGCUUCUCCGGAUGAGUUGCGAACGGGUGAGUAACGCGUAGGUAACCUGCCUGGUAGCGGGGGAUAACUAUUGGAAACGAUAGCUAAUACCGCAUAAGAGUAGAUGUCGCAUGACAUUUGCUUAAAAGGUGCAACUGCACCACUACCAGAUGGACCUGCGUUGUAUUAGCUAGUUGGUGAGGUAACGGCUCACCAAGGCAACGAUACAUAGCCGACCUGAGAGGGUGAUCGGCCACCCUGGGACUGGAACACGGCCCAGACUCCUACGGGAAGCAGCAGUAGGGGAUCUUCGGCAAUGGACGGAAGGCUGACCGAGCAACGCCGCGUGAGGGAAGAAGGUUUUCGGAUCGGAAAGCUCUGUUGUAAGAGAAGAACGAGUGUGGGAGUGGAAAGUUCACACUGUGACGGUAUCUUACCAGAAAGGGACGGCUAACUACGUG
rnacentral:rRNA from 1 species